GUGGGGAAUAUUGGACAAUGGGGGCAACCCUGAUCCAGCCAUGCCGCGUGAGUGAUGAAGGCCUUCGGGUUGUAAAGCUCUUUUGGUGGGGACGAUGAUGACGGUACCCACAGAAUAAGCUCCGGCUAACUUCGUGCCAGCAGCCGCGGUAAUACGAAGGGAGCUAGCGUUGUUCGGAAUUACUGGGCGUAAAGGGCGCGUAGGCGGUCAGGCAAGUCAGGUGUGAAAGCCCUGGGCUCAACCCGGGAAUUGCGCUUGAUACUACUUGGCUUGAAUUCGGGAGAGGUUGGUGGAAUUCCCAGUGUAGAGGUGAAAUUCGUAGAGAUUGGGAAGAACACCCGUGGCGAAGGCGGCCAACUGGACCGACAUUGACGCUGAGGCGCGAAAGCGUGGGGAGCAAACAGGAUUAGAAACCCCGGUAGUCC
rnacentral:rRNA from 1 species